AUUGAACGCUGGCGGCAGGCCUAACACAUGCAAGUCGAACGAGUGGCGGACGGGUGAGUAAUGUCUGGGAAACUGCCUGAUGGAGGGGGAUAACUACUGGAAACGGUAGCUAAUACCGCAUACCAUCAGAUGUGCCCAGAUGGGAUUAGCUUGUUGGUGGGGUAACGGCUUACCAAGGCGACGAUCCCUAGCUGGUCUGAGAGGAUGACCAGCCACACUGUAACUGAGCCACGGUCAAGACUCAUACGGGAGGCAGAAGUGGGGAAUAGUGCACAACGGGCGCAAGCCUGAUGCAGCCAUGCCGCGUGUAUGAAGAAGGACUUCGGGUUGUAAAGUACUUUCAGAGGGGAGGCGUUACCCGCACAAGAAGCUCCGGCUAACUCCCUGCCAGCCGCCGCGGUAAUAC
rnacentral:rRNA from 1 species